AACGUAGGUGGCGAGCGUUAUCCGGAUUUACUGGGCGUAAAGGGUGUGCAGGCGGGGGGUCAAGUGGUGUAUGAAAGGGCGUGGCUCAACCACGCUAGGUUAUACCAGACUGGCUCUCUUGAGGACGAAACAGGGCUGUGGAAUUCCGGGUGUAGCGGUGAAAUGCGCAGAUAUCAGGAAGAACACCUAUGGCGAAGGCAGCUCGCUGGGACGGUACUGACGCUGAGACGCGAAAGCGUGGGGAGCAAACAGG
rnacentral:rRNA from 1 species